rnacentral:rRNA from 1 species
UUGAUUUUCAAGUUUCUAGUGAAACUUAGUAGCCUAACUAUUAAGCGUGCUAGAAAUACUGAUUAUCUAGAGACCGGGAGGAGUCAGGAGUAUUCCAGGGGUAGCGGUAAAAUGUUAUAAUCCCUGGAAGACUAUCAGUGGCGAAGGCGCCUGACUAGAACGGGUCUGACGGUGAGGGAUGAAAGCUAGGGGAGCAAACAGGAUUAGAUACCCUGGUAGUCCUAGCUGUAAACGCUGCUCGCUUGGAGUUGCGUCUUCUUCGGAAUGCGCAGCACCGUAGUGAAAACGUUAAGCGAGCCGCCUGGGAA